rnacentral:lncRNA from 1 species
UUCAUAUGUAAAACAAUUUCAUAGUACAAUGAAAAACCUUAAAAGACGAAGAAACUGUGCAGAUAUAUAUCAGUCAUCAUAGGAAGAAUGAGGAGAAGCUGUACAUCCAGGGUCAAAUGCAUCUUCAGAUCCACAACAAUGCCAAUAUUGAAACACUGUACCAGAUUCAGGUGUGUUCAUGGUGCCUCCACUAUAAACACUCUCGAAUUUUCUCUUGGUUUCUCCUGAUAUUAACAAAAACACAACGCGGAUUUCGUCAUGGAUUUAAUGGGACAUGAUCACGACGAGAAAAAGAUCAGUGUGGAAACGACAAGCUUGCGGAUGAUUGAGUGAAGGAUCGAACUGUGUUUUACAUUGCUUGCAAGUUCUUAAAUUGACCGCUUUAGUUUCUUCUACCGAGGAGCAUUGAAUCGAGUGUUUUCUGAUUACACGAUGAUUGGACAAACGCGAAAUUGGCGUUGAGAAUCCAAUUGUAGGAUGAAGUUUUACAGGAUUCUGACGGAUGGGGGGAGUAUUAUGUGAUUUGAUUGACGAAUUUGUUGAACAGAUUUGAGUCGCCAUUGAUGAAAAACCCUAAAAUUUGGGGGAAAAUAUUACCAGGAAACGCUGAUUGGGUUGGGAAAAUAUUAUUAUCAAGUGUCAGAAUCACCCCUUCAAAUUUCAACAAAAGUUAAUAUGAGACAAAUAAUUACAUUACUUUAUUUAUGAUUUCAGCAAUAUUUGAUCUUAUAUAAAUAUAACUAGUUU